rnacentral:lncRNA from 1 species
GGAAAUCUCGUCCACAAGCAGAACCCUACGAGUAGGGAAAGAAGAAAUAAUAAUAAUUACAAAUAAACCAAUGUAAAUAAUACAAGUGUUGGUAAAUGAUUGGUUGAGGAGUUAUUGAAUCAACUAAUUCUCAACAAAUUGAAUAUUCUCAAAUGUUGUGACAUGGCAAUUGAGAGUGGUAAUUUUAUAUUGAUUUGGGACUUGGAGAUGAGCUAUGUGUAUUGCUUAUGUGGCACUUUUCUCUAAUAUUCCCCCUUAAAUGAGAGAGUAACUGAAUUAUACCGAGUUUGGAUCUCAAGCAUUGAAAGUGAGAGUGUGUGAAAGGCUUGUUGAGGUUAUCAACUAAUUGGUCAGUUGAAGGUAUAUAUUGAACUUCAAGAACAUCACGUAGAACUUGGUCACACACAAAGUGAACAUGAAUUUCAAUAUGCUUAGUUCUAGCAUGAAACAUCGGAUUCGUGGCAAGAGCCCCUGCAAUUAAGUUAUCAUACUACAAAAUAGGCUUAGAACAAUUAAAUUUAGCAAGUUUAGAGAGCAACUCUUUGAGCAAACUGAUUUCAGAUGCAACAUGAGAUAAAAGCUCGAUAUUCAGAUUCAGUGCUUGAUCGUGCCACAAUAUUUUGUUUCUUAGAGGACCAAGAAACUAGGUUGUUGCCUAUAAAAACACAGUAUGCAACUACAUACUUAAGAUCAUCAAUAUUAGAAGCCCAAUAUGCAUCAGAGAAUACAGUAAUAGACAAAUUUGUGUUUCGUUGAAAUAAAUUAACGUGAUUAUUUGUGCCAUUAACAUAGAUCAGAACACGUUUAACUGCACGUCAAUGAAGACCAGUUGGUUUUUGCAGAAACUGACUUAGAUGAUUUAAUAUAUUAUAUGUUUAGUCUAAUGCUGGUAAGAUAUUAGUGUGCUCCCAGAGUACUUCGAUAUAUGAACAGGUCAUUUAAAGGUGUGCCAUCAUUUAUAGACAAGUGUUUGCCAAAAACACGGAGAGAUAUGGUGUUGAUUUUAAACCAGUAAGUUGAAGCUUGUAAAGUAGAUCCGCUAAUUCAAGAUGGUGAACUUGAAUUCCAAGGAAAUAAGUGUAGAUGGCCCAAGUCUUUUAGGAAAAAUUUUGCAUCAAAGGAUUUUAUCAGUUUACCAAUCCUGACAAAAUUGUUCUUAGGGACUAUCACAUCAUCAACAUAAACCAGAAACAAUAUGAUGGAAGUGUUGUUUCGAAAUAUAAAAGGGAGGAAUCUUACCUUGAACUUUUUAACUCAAGUUGUAAUAACUCAAUAGUGAGUGUUGUAUUCCAUCCUUGAGGUGCUUGCUUGAGGCCGUGUAUUGCUUUAUCCAAUUUACACACAUAGUGAUGAAAGGUAGGAUUAACAUACCCAGAGGGUUGUGCCAUAUAAACAUCCUCUGUUAAGUGACCAUUGAGGAAGGCAUUAUUAAAAUCUAAAUGUCGCAACUGCCAACCUUUAGAGACGGCUAAGCUGAGAACCACCCAAAUGGUUGAAGCCUUAACCAUGGGACCAAAAUUUUCAAAGAAGUCAAUACCUCGAGUCUAAUAAAACCCCUUGGAUAUGAGACGAGCCUUGUAUCUUUGAACAAUACCAUCAACAUUCUUUUUAUUCUAAAAACCCACUUGUUAUCAAUAACAUUCAAGGUGAGAGAGGGUGGAACAAGAUGUUUGAACAAUACCAUCAACAUUCUUUUUAUUCUAAAAACCCACUUGUUAUCAAUAACAUUCAAGGUGAGAGAGGGUGGAACAAGAUGUCAGGUUUUAUUUUUUUACCAAGGCUAUAUACUCAUCAUCCAUAGCCUUCUUCCACGAUGGUGUAGCCAAGGCAUAUUUUACUCGUGUUGGCUCAGUGAAGGACCAAUCAACAGUGAAGGUAGAAGUUAGAACUUUUAGUUUGAAGAUGUCAGCUUUGGCCCUUGUUAUCAUAAGAUGAGUAAGGAAAUAGGUGUAUUUGGGUGAUUACUUGGAUUUGUUUCGGCCAAAAUAUGAGUUUGAGUAUUUUUUAAAACUGGGUUUUCACAUAUGUAAGAAAAUGUGUGAAGGCUUCAAAGGCUCCACUCUUUUUUUAAGAGGAUAGAUUCGAUUGUAACUGUUAAAGUCAUCAACAAAUAGGAUUUAAUAUCGAUAACCAUCAAAUGAAGUGAAGCUAAUCCCCAUAAAUCACAGCGUACCAAAUUAAAGUGAUUAGCUGCUCAAUUUUGAGAGACAUUAAAUGGUAGAUUAUGGGCUUUUCCAAGUUGACAGGAAUAUAGAAAAUAAGUUCUUCAUUGUCAUUAAUAGGAAGAUUACAACAUUUGAUUAUAAAGUAUAAAACUUUCACAGAUGGGUGACCUAGACACACCUAUGUCCGACAGUUUUAGAAGCAACAACACUACUAUUGGUUGUUUUAGACAACAUUAAUAUUGAUGCAUUGUUAUUUAUAUGUUGAAACUGUCGUUUUCUACCUUCAUUGUUCUCCAACUCACCAACUGACUUCACUGCAACACCUUCAAGGUGAUAGAGGCCAUCUUUAAGUGUUCCUUUUAACAUAAUUUGACAUGUAUCCUUGGCCAUUACAAAAUAGCAAGUACCAUGAAAUUCAAGAGAUACAUCAUUAUCUUGAUAUAACUUUGACAUACUAACUAGAUUUUUUGUAAUGUCAGACACACAUAAAAUAUUUUCUAGUUUCAACUACUUUUCCCAUGAGUUAAAUUUGCAUUACCCACACAAGUAAUUUGCGGUUUACUUCCAUUACCAACAACAACAUUUUCAAUACCUGAAUAUUCAGAGAUAUUUGACAGGUUUGAGUAGUCAGAUGUUACAUGAUUCGUUGCCCCAUUGUCAACAUGCCAAUUUGUAUUAACUACUGUCUCUGGUGUGGCCAAUGGAUUAGACUUUUGGGUUGUAACGUAAGUAUGAGGGUUUGAAUUUCUAGUCAAAAUUGAGUUAUGCCCCUUAUUUUGAUUUAUAUUUCCAGCAAACUCUUUAUUGAAUCGGUUAAAACUGUAACGCUUCGAGUUUAGGAGAGGGGAUACGAAUGAACAUGUAUCACAUUUGAAUGAGAGGG